UACUUAAAUAACCGAAAUAUCCACCAACUAUUAUGAACACUGUAUUGAAAAUCCAACGGGUUCUACCUGUUUUUCGAUCUACAUUAAGGAAUUAUGGAAAAGCGGAGCGAUUUAUGUGGUGUCAGAAGGAGUAUGCUGGAGUUCCCAAAGUUGUUUUCGUGAACAGCCUAGAGAUUCCAGUAAUUGGGCUUGGAACAUGGAACAGCCCCAAGGGAGAAGUAACCGAGGCCGUGAAGGUGGCCAUCGAUGCCGGAUACAGGCACAUUGAUUGUGCCUAUGUCUACCAAAACGAGGAUGAGGUCGGUGAGGGCAUUGAGGCCAAGAUCAAGGAGGGCGUUGUCAAGCGUGAGGAUCUGUUCAUCACCAGCAAACUGUGGAACACCUUCCACCGUCCGGAUCUGGUUAAGACUGCUCUGGAGAACACAUUGAGUGGGCUGAAGCUCAAGUACCUCGAUCUGUAUCUUAUUCACUGGCCCAUGGGCUACAAGGAGGGCUGCGAACUGUUCCCCACCGAUAAGGAGGGCAAGACCCUGUUCUCGCCGGUCGAUUACGUCGAUACGUGGAAGGCCAUGGAGAAGCUGGUCGAGGAAGGUCUGGUCAAGUCUAUUGGCGUUUCGAACUUCAACAGGAGGCAGAUUGAGCGCGUGCUGGAGGUGGCCACCAUUCCGCCGGUAACCAACCAAAUCGAGUGCCACCCAUAUUUGACCCAGAAGAAACUGAUCGACUUCUGCAAGUCGAAAGAUAUCACCAUCACUGCUUACAGUCCUUUGGGAUCCCCCAAUCGCCCAUGGGCCAAGGCCGGCGAUCCGGUCAUCCUCGAGGAGGCUAAGAUCAAGGAGAUCGCAGCCGCGAAAAACAAAACUCCUGGACAGAUCCUCAUUCGUUACCAGAUUCAGCGCGCCAACAUCGUUAUCCCCAAGUCUGUCACCAAGAGUCGCAUUGAGUCCAACUUCCAGGUCUUUGACUUUGAACUGACACCCGAGGAAAUCAAAACCAUCGAGAGCUUCGAGUGCAAUGGUCGCCUGGUGCCCCUGCUCAACGAUGCUGGUACCCACAAGUACUACCCAUUUCACGACGAGUAUUAGGUUUUAUCGAAUCGAUAUCUGCUAAGCGAGAAGUAAUGAAGAAAAAUUCCUACAAAUGAGAAAUUAUACCUAUUGAAAACUGAAACUCUUUGAAGAAAGAAAUCAAAUAUACCGCAGAUCUACAUAAACAUGAACACGAGGUUAACCCAGUACGGUCACCCGCACCACCCUUUCGAGAAGGACGAAUACUAGAAGCCAACACAGUCCACAGUUCAAAUUUAUAAUUUGUUACAUAAUCAUUUAAUCUUAAAUUGUACGAAUAAACAAACAUUUAAAUUA